GGAGGAUCACAGUUUAACACAGAUGAAGACUUCUCCACGCUGCUUUCAAACUGUGAGUAAACACUGUGUGCUUCACUUGGAGGCUGUCUGAAGGUAUACACAGAUGGACUUGGACAUUAACAACGAUAUUCCGUAAUAAGUCUGGAAACAAUAGCUGGUUUAAAUGAUUUAUUCGAGCAACUCGUUUGUCUUGUUGUAGUCCUCGCUGUUCGCGUCCGGAUAUCGCCAUCGUAAUCGCAACCUCACACACUGGUACUGGAUGUGCAUCAACGUGUUCCUAAGAAGCCAAAUAUACCAAAAGAUGUAUGUAAACGACAGAAGAAAGCGAUCGAAAUGUGUAUUUCAGUCGAAAGCCACGCACCCCACGGAAACAAGUUGAUCGGGAAACAAGUUAAUCCGGAACAUCGCCCCUGGCUACAGGAGGAUGUGUUAUCAAUGAUCAACAUGUUCAACAUCCCAAACGAACCUCGAGAAGAGGAAGAGGAAAUUGACAAACUGCAAUCAAGAACAAAUAAACCCGGGACUCCUGGAGGAAGCCGUGCACGUGCAUGUUUUACCCUCAGCACAACAUAUUACACAAAGAGACAGAAGCUAACCAGGAAGAGCGUCAAAAAGCACCUUUAAAAGAGACCUUUAAAAAAGAGACACAAGACUAGAAAAGACACAACAUUAACGGUAGGGACACACAACAUGCUUAAAAGAGACACAAAUAACUAUAAAGAGACACAACAUGCUUAAAAGAGACACAAAUAACUAUAAAGAGACACAACAUGCUUAAAAGAGACACAACAUGCUUAAAAGAGACACAAAAGGCUUAAAAGAGACACAAAUAAUUAUAAAGAGACACCGAAGUUAAUCAAAGAGACAGAAAUUGGCAAAAAAUACACAUGAAACUACAAAGAUAUUCAAAUAACUUCAAAACACCUUAAAGUGACACAAAAGGACUACAAAGACACCUAAAGCAGCGGAAAAGAGACACAACAUGACUUGAAAGACGAACAACAUUGCUUCGGAGAGACCCAUAAUGACCAGAAGGACGACACAAAAUAUUAAAAACAGACAGAAGCAACUAUGAAGUGACACAGACGUUCAACAAAGAGACAGAAAAUUGCCAGAAAGACACAUAAAACUACAAAGCUAUUCAAACGACUACAAACAAUGAGACACUACACAGCUACAAAAAAGGCAAUGACAAACACGCUCUAACCCAUUACAAAAGGGACCCAAAAUGUCUUUAAAAGAGACACAGAUUGUCUAUAAGGACACAACACAGUUUGCAAAGAGACACUUCAGCGACAAAGCGACACAAAACAUUUCUAAAGACACUUUAGGGACUCAACAUGACUUCAAAGAGCCUCAACAGAGCUGGAAGGGACUCAACAUGACUUCAGAGAGCCUCAAAGAGCUGGAAGGGACUCAACAUGACUUCAAAGAGCCUCAACAGAGCUGGAAGGGACUCAACAUGACUUCAAAGAGCCUCAACAGAGCUGGAAGGGACUCAACAUGACUUCAAAGAGCCUCAACAGAGCUGGAAGGGACUCAACAUGACUUCAAAGAGCCUCAACAGAGCUGGAAGGAUUUCUGAAAGCCUUGGGUCAAAAAUACUUGAACCAGUAUGAGCUGCAGAACCACAGAAAGACCAACAUAGAUACAAAGCAUCGAGAUGUAUGGAGUAUGUAUUUUAACUACAGCAUUAACCAGGCCUGCUUUUCUCUGUAAUGUUAAAUAAUUAAAGUUAAGCCACAGAGCCAGUUUCUCUCCACUCUGUAUACACAUACAUAUAAAAAAGAUACUCACAACUCUUUG